GUGGGGAAUAUUGGGCAAUGGGGGAAACCCUGACCCAGCAACGCCGCGUGAAGGAAGAAGGCUUUCGGGUUGUAAACUUCUUUUAUGAGGGAAGAUAAUGACGGUACCUCAUGAAUAAGCCACGGCUAACUACGUGCCAGCAGCCGCGGUAAUACGUAGGUGGCAAGCGUUGUCCGGAUUUACUGGGUGUAAAGGGCGUGUAGGCGGGACUGCAAGUCAGAUGUGAAAUUUCGGGGCUCAACCCCGAAACUGCAUUUGAAACUGUGGUUCUUGAGUAUCGGAGAGGCAGGCGGAAUUCCUAGUGUAGCGGUGAAAUGCGUAGAUAUUAGGAGGAACACCAGUGGCGAAGGCGGCCUGCUGGACGACAACUGACGCUGAGGCGCGAAAGCGUGGGGAGCAGACAGGAUUAGAUACCCGAGUAGUCC
rnacentral:rRNA from 1 species